rnacentral:rRNA from 1 species
AGCAGCCACCUUUUAAAACGCGUCAAAGCGUAACCUAAACCCCCCAAAAUACCAUUAAUUUUCAUGAACCCCUAAUUUAUAAUGAAUGACUCCAUAUUUAUAUGGAAGACACCAUGCUAGGAUUAGUAACAAGAAUUUAUAAUUCUCCAAAAUGCAAAUAUAAACCAACAUGGAUAGACCAUUGGUAGUUACCGAACCUAAAUUUACUGCAAUAACACCCACAAGAAAACUCUGCAGUACUUACUCGUUAACCUAACACCAGCGCAUUACAGGAAAGAUUAAAAAAAAGAGAAGGAAUUCGGCAAAUGACGGCCCCGCCUGUUUACCAAAAACAUCGCCUCUUGACUUAUAAUAAGAGGUCCAGCCUGCCCAGUGAAUUUUAAACGGCCGCGGUAUCCUAACCGCGCGAAGGUAGCAUAAUCACUUGUUCUUUAAAUGGGGACUCGUAUCAACGGCAUCACGAGGGUUUUACUGUCUCCUCUUUUUGAUCAGUGAAAUUGAUCUUCCCGUGAAGAAGCGGGGAUAUUUUUAUAAGACGAGAAGACCCCAUGGAGCUUUAAACCAAAUAACAACUUAACUACUUAUCCCACAAUAAAUUUAAGCCCUGUUAUAAGGUUUUUGGUUGGGGUGACCGCGGAGUAAAGCACAUCCUCCACGACGGAAAGAACAUAAUCUUUAUUUAAGAACCACACUUCUAGAAAUUAGUAUACUAACGUUUACUGACCCGACAAUCGAUCAACGGACCAAGUUACCCUGGGGAUAACAGCGCAAUCUACUUCAAGAGCUCAUAUCGACAAGUAGGCUUACGACCUCGAUGUUGGAUCAGGGUAUCCCGGUGGUGCAGCCGCUACCGAAGGUUCGUUUGUUCAACGAUUAAAACCCUACGUGAUCU